rnacentral:rRNA from 1 species
ACGGGAGGCAGCAGUAGGGAAUAUUGCACAAUGGGGGAAACCCUGAUGCAGCAACGCCACGUGUGGGAAGAAGCAUUUCGGUGUGUAAACCACUGUCGUGAGGGAAUAAAGCUGGAGUUGUCCAGUUGAAUGUACCUCGAAAGGAAGCACCGGCAAACUUCGUGCCAGCAGCCGCGGUAAUACGAGGGGUGCAAGCGUUGUUCGGAAUCACUGGGCGUAAAGGGAGCGCAGGCGGAAGUGCAAGCGGUCUGUACAAUACCGGGGCCCAACCCCGGACCUGCAGACCGGACUGUGUCUCUUGGAUAGUUCAGGGGCAGGCGGAAUUCCUGGUGUAGCGGUGGAAUGCGUAGAGAUCAGGGAGAACACCGAUGGCGAAGGCAGCCUGCUGGGGACUCAUCGACGCUGAGGCUCGAAAGUGCGGGUAGCAAACAGGAUUAGAUACCCUGGUA